rnacentral:pre_miRNA from 1 species
AUUGUACUGCCUCCGUCCGGAAAUAUUUGUCCUAGAGAUGAAUGUAUCUAGACUUAUUUUAAUUGUAGAUACAUCCAUUAUAUGCAUUUUUAGGACAAGUAUUUCUGAACGGAGGGAGUAGUAU